AUUGAACGCUGGCGGCAGGCCUAACACAUGCAAGUCGAGCGAGCGGCGGACGGGUGAGUAAUGUCUGGGAAACUGCCUGAUGGAGGGGGAUAACUACUGGAAACGGUAGCUAAUACCGAAUACACUAAGAUGUGCCCAGAUGGGAUAAGCUAGUAGGUGGGGUAACGGCUCACCUGGGCGACGAUCCCUAGCGGGUCUGGGAGGAUGACCAGCCACACGGGAACGGAAACACGGUCCAGACUCCUACGGGAGGCAGCAGUGGGGAAUAUUGCACAAUGGGCGCAAGCCUGAUGCAGCCAUGCCGCGUGUGUGAAGAAGGCCUUCGGGUUGUAAAGCACUUUCAGCGGGGAGGCGUUACCCGCAGAAGAAGCACCGGCUAACUCCGUGCCAGCCGCCGCGGUAAUAC
rnacentral:rRNA from 1 species